ensembl:snRNA U4 U4 spliceosomal RNA
AGCUUUGAGCAGUGGCAGUAUCAUAGCCAAUGAGGUUUAUCCGAGGCGCGAUUAUUGCUAAUUGAAAGUGCAGACUCAGAGAGCCC